AGAGUUUGAUCCUGGCUCAGAAUGAACGCUGGCGGCGUGGGUUAGGCAUGCAAGUCGAACGCCAAAGCAGGGGCAACUCUGCGAGUAGCGUGGCGAAAGGGUGAGUAAUGCUUGGAUGACCUGCCUUCGAGACGGGGACAACAGUCCGAAAGGACUGCUAAUACCCGAUGGUCCGUUCCGGAUGCGUCCGGACCGGUAAAUGGUUGAUUCCGCUCGAUGAGGGGUCCAAGUCCUAUCAGCUUGUUGGUGAGGUAACGGCUCACCAAGGCUUUGACGGGUAGGCGGACUGAGAGGUCGACCGCCCACAUCGGGACUGAGACACUGCCCGGACUCCUACGGGAGGCUGCAGUCGAGAAUCUUCUGCAAUGGGCGCAAGCCUGACAGAGCGACGCCGCGUGGAGGAUGAAGGCCCUCGGGUUGUAAACUCCUGUCACACGUUAUGAAAUGUACGGCUUACAUCCGUGCACUGACAAAGGCGUGGGAGGAAGCCACGGCUAACUUCGUGCCAGCAGCCGCGGUAAGACGAAGGUGGCUAGCGUUAUUCGGAUUCACUGGGCAUAAAGCGCGCGUAGGCGGCUCUUCAAGUCGGGGGUGAAAGCCUGCAGCUCAACUGCGGAACUGCCUUCGAUACUGUCGAGCUUGAGUGCAGGAGGGGUGAUCGGAAUUCCAGGUGUAGCGGUGAAAUGCGUAGAUAUCUGGAGGAACACCGGAGGCGAAGGCGGAUCACUGGACUGCCACUGACGCUGAGGCGCGAAAGCUAGGGGGAGCAAACAGGAUUAGAUACCCUGGUAGUCCUAGCU
rnacentral:rRNA from 1 species